UACGGGGGGGGCAAGCGUUGUUCGGAAUUACUGGGCGUAAAGGGCGCGUAGGCGGUUCGCUAAGUUGAAUGUGAAAACUCUGGGCUUAACCCAGAGCCUGCAUUCAAUACUGGCGGGCUAGAGUUCUGGAGGGGAUAGCGGAAUUCCUGGUGUAGCGGUGAAAUGCGUAGAUAUCAGGAGGAACACCGGUGGCGAAGGCGACUAUCUGGACAGAGUCUGACGCUGAGGCGCGAAAGCUAGGGGAGCAAACAGG
rnacentral:rRNA from 1 species